rnacentral:rRNA from 1 species
GCAUAACGCGAAGAACCUUACCUGGGCUUGAACUGUCGGUAUAGGGGCCCGAAAGGGCGACGAUCCCGGGCAACCGGGAAGCCGAUAGAGGUGCUGCAUGGCUGUCGUCAGCUCGUGUCGUGAGAUGUUGGGUUAAGUCCCGCAACGAGCGCAACCCUUGUCUUUAGUUGCCAGCGAGUCAUGUCGGGCACUCUAAGGAGACUGCCUCGGAUAACGAGGAGGAAGGUGGGGAUGACGUCAAGUCAGCAUGGCCUUUAUGUCCAGGGCUACACACGUGCUACAAUGGGCGGCACAGAAGGACGCGAGACCGCGAGGUCAAGCCAACCCUUAAAACCGUUCUCAGUUCGGAUUGCAGGCUGCAAUUCGCCUGCAUGAAGUCGGAAUCGCUAGUAAUCGCGGAUCAGCUACGCCGCGGUGAAUACGUUCUCGGGUCUUGUACACACCG